AUGGUAUUUUUGGCAAUUUCCCUAGAAUUUGUUCCCAUGUAUUAUUUAUGAUAACAUUUCAACAUUUUAACUAAAAUGACUCAAACUGUAUGUACAAUUAACACUGAAUUUUUUUUAAAAACUUUAUAAGCUUAAAAUAAUUUUUUUUUAAAUAAAGAAAAAUUGAUUACAUCAAAUGUAUAUAAAAAUUCUGUUAUUUUCUGGUUGUAAAUCUAUUUUACGAUAACAUAAACUCUAAGACACAAUUGAAAAAAAACAAAUCAAAAUUAAAAUUUGGAAAGUAUUACACAUUUUCAGCUUAAAUUGGUGUGAAAAACAACUAUCCAAAAUUUAGGUAUAAAUAAUAUGUUACGCAAAAAUUCAUGAGAAAUUCCAUAGAAAGACUUAAAAAAGUUUUUGUCACAAAUAUUAACCUUAAAAAUAAAAUAUGACCAAAAUAGACUUAAAUGUUUUAUCAAAAAAA
rnacentral:lncRNA from 1 species